AGAAGAUGAAGAGAGAAGAUGAAGAGGGAAGAUCAAGAAGAUUUGAAAUGAAGACCUGCGAGAUGAACAAAGAAGAUGAACAAUGGCGACCAAAAAGAUAUAGAGAAGUGACAUAGAAGUGAAGAAUAAAGAAUAGAACAUGAAAAGAAGACCGAGAAGAUGAAGAGAGAAGACAGAGAAGAAAAUGAAGAUCAUGAAGAAGAUGAAGAAGAGAGAAGACCUAGGAGGGAAGAAAGAAGGUCAAGAACGAAGUAUAUCUAAAGGAUCAAAGCCAAACAAAUAAAAAACAUAAAAAAUAUGCCAAAUGAAUCAAGAAAACAAAGUUUUACAAAGUUCCAAUAUAAGAAAGAAUACACUGCGGAGGCAAAACUGCAAAAAAUGAAGAUAUCUAAAGCAACGAAGAUAUCUAAAGCAACAAGAUGUCAGAACUCACGAACUAGGAGUGAAAGGUUUGCCAAGAAAGUUAAAAUAAAGAGGAAAAAUUGAGUCUUCAAGUUCAAGCCAAAUAUUGAGAGUGUACGGGAUAAAGACCAAUAAUUUUUAGGCUGUAUUAGUCAGACGAAGGAAUCCUGAAAAUUCACUGAAAAAGAGUUGGAGGAUAAUAUUAAAAGAAAUGAAAAAUGAAGACAAUCUUGAAACUGGCCAGGCAUAAAAGGUAAUCUUCAAAUGAGAAAUAACUACAGAAGACAAAAAUGAGAACCCAGAAUAUCGACAAAGUGAUAAUGUUUUAAUCAAAGAAUAUGUAUAGUACCUACACUUUCUAUAAUGAAAUAAAGUUCCAUGUAUAUAAAUA
rnacentral:lncRNA from 1 species